UCAUUCUAGCCUGUGUCCUUUAGCAAACGAGACAGCUAAGUGUGCCCAAGAUGAAUUGGGUUGUGCUUGAUGUGUGAAUUUUAACGGUAUUUGUGUCGUCCCGCUGUUAGCAACAGCACCAUGUUGCGUGUUGGCAGGAAAGCUGAAUGCAUGGCACGAUGGAUUGUGGUCCCCACCAGGACCGGGGUACGGUUUCGGGUGCCCCUUCAGAAGCUGCACCCUCUGUACCGUGCCAUCCACCAUCGUUACUAUGGAAACACCAGCUCCCAGCGCCCUCCUCAUCGUACGGCGGCCCGUUAUUUCACCUCCAUGUCACGGUUACCCAUGAGACCGCCGAAGCCGCCUCCGAGGUCAGGAGGGGGCCGUGGCUACCAGCAGCAGCGCAACUUCUGGGUGGCCCGACUCGCUGCGAGGCUGCUGAGGCUGCGGUACAUCCUGCUCGGCAGCGCGGUGGGCGGAGGAUACACAGCUAAGAAGACGUAUGACGAGUGGAAGGACAUGCUGCCUGACUUGAGCGAAUACAACUGGCUCGUUCCUGACUUUGUGUGGGAGCUCAGCCAACAAAUAGAUCUUGAUAAACUGGCCAAAGCGCUGCCGGAGAUGGAGGAAAUAGCCAAACUCAUGCCCGACUUUGACAGGAUAGGAGAGAACUUCACUUUGCUCAGAAGCCUGCUGACCUCUGCCCCCUUCCCCCCCAUCUCCUCCACAUUAUUCACAGGUUUGAGUUUGGGUAGUGAAGUCAAAGGAGCUUCGGGUCUGCUUCUGUUGUUAGAAACCUCAGGUGAUCCUCCGUUAAAAGCUACAGACUCUUCCACCGCAGCCUCACAAGAUGACAAGCAGUACAAGAAGGGUCUGCUUGGCGAGCUCAUUCUUAUUCAGCAGCAGAUCCAGCGGCACGAGGAGGAGGUCCGGCGGGCAGCUGCGGCCAAUUAUACGCGUCCCCCACCGCCAGAGCCUGCUCCCAGUCCGCCUUCGAACCCCAGCCCCCCUCAUCACGCACGUAAGUCAUCAGACAAAGAAAAGAUAGAUCAGCUCCAAGAGGAACUGCUCCGUACCCAGCUGAAAUACCAACGCAUGCUGGAGAGACUGGAGAAAGAGAAUAAGGAGUUGAGGAAAGUGGUUCUGCAAAAAGACGAUAAAGGGAUUCACCAAAGGAAAGUGAAGAAAUCCCUUAUUGAUAUGUAUUCAGAAGUUCUGGACAUCCUGUCUGACUAUGAUGCCAACUACAAUACGCAGGACCAUCUACCCAGGGUGGUUGUGGUGGGCGAUCAGAGUGCUGGGAAGACAAGCGUGCUGGAGAUGAUAGCUCAGGCCAGGAUUUUUCCCAGAGGCUCUGGAGAGAUGAUGACACGUUCUCCUGUUAAGGUGACGCUGAGUGAAGGCCCUCACCAUGUGGCUUUGUUCAAGGACAGCGGGCGUGAGUUUGACCUCACCAAGGAGGAAGAUCUGGCCGCUCUGAGGCAUGAAAUUGAGCUGAGGAUGAGGAAGAGCGUGAAAGAGGGGCAAACAGUCAGCUCUGAGACAAUAUCCUUGAGUGUGAAAGGCCCAGGCAUCCAGCGAAUGGUGCUUGUUGAUUUGCCAGGCGUCAUCAGUACGGUGACUGCGGGCAUGGCAUCGGACACCAAGGAGACCAUCUUCAGUAUCAGCAAGGCCUACAUGCAGAACCCCAAUGCCAUCAUCCUCUGCAUACAAGAUGGCAGUGUGGAUGCGGAGCGGAGCAUUGUGACCGAUUUGGUUAGUCAAAUGGACCCCCAUGGAAAGAGGACCAUCUUUGUGUUGACCAAAGUGGACUUGGCCGAGAAGAACCUAGCCAGCCCGAGCAGAAUCCAGCAGAUUGUUGAGGGCAAGCUGUUUCCUAUGAAGGCCCUGGGCUACUUUGCAGUAGUGACCGGAAAAGGGAGCAGUGGGGAAAGCAUUGACUCCAUUAAGGAUUACGAGGAGGACUUCUUCCAGAACUCCAGAUUAUUGCGGGACGGUAUGCUGAAGGCCCAUCAGGUGACCACAAAGAACUUGAGUCUGGCCGUCUCGGACUGCUUCUGGAAAAUGGUGCGGGAGUCUGUUGAGCAGCAGGCUGACGUCUUUAAAGCAUCUCGCUUCAACCUGGAGACGGAGUGGAAGAACAACUAUCCUCGUCUGAGAGAACUGGACCGGAAUGAACUAUAUGAAAAGGCCAAGAAUGAAAUCUUGGAUGAAGUCAUCAGCUUGAGCCAAGUGACCCCACAGCACUGGGAAGCCAUCCUACAAAAGAAGCUGUGGGAGCGUGUUUCCACCCACGUGAUUGAGAACAUCUACCUGCCCGCCGCACAAACAAUGGACUCUGGGACCUUCAACACCACGGUAGACAUCAAGCUCAAGCAGUGGACUGACAAGCAGCUUCCACACAAAGCUCUGGAGGUUGCCUGGGAGACUCUACAGGAGGAAUUUGCUCGCUUCAUGGCUGAGUACAAAGGCAAAGACCAGGAUGACAUUUUUGACAAGCUGAAGGAGGCCGUGAAGGACGAGAGCAUCAAGAGGCACAAGUGGAACGAGAGGGCCAUGGACAGCCUGCGGGUGAUCCAGCACAAUGCCCUAGAAGAUCGCUCCAUCACAGACAAAUCCCAGUGGGAUGCUGCCAUCCAGUUCAUGGAGGAAACUUUGCAGUCACGCCUGAAAGACACUGAAACUGUAAUAGCAGACAUGGUGGGUCCAGACUGGAAGCAGCGGUGGAUGUACUGGAAGAACCGAACACCAGAUCAGCACAUCCAUAAUGAAACCAAAACGGAGCUGGAGCGCUUGCUGAAGCUGCACGACGAGCACACAGCUUACCUGGCCAACGACGAGGUCACCACAGUCAGGAAGAACCUGGAAGGACGGGGGGUUGAAGUCGACCCCAUGCUGAUCAAGGACACAUGGCAUCAGCUCUAUCGACGACACUUUUUACAGAAGGCCCUGUCCCACUGUAACCUCUGUAAGCGCGGCUUCUACUACUACCAGAGGCACUUUGUGGACUCUGAGUUGGAGUGCAAUGAUGUGGUCCUGUUCUGGAGGAUCCAGAGGAUGUUGGUGAUCACAGCCAACACGCUACGACAGCAGCUCACCAACACUGAAGUGCGCCGACUGGAGAAGAACGUGAAAGAGGUGCUGGAUGACUUUGGAGAAGAUAUGGAGAAGAAAUCUCACCUCAUCACCGGGCGCCGCGUCCAGCUGGCCGAGGAUCUCAAGAAAGUACGUGAGAUCCAGGAGAAGCUUGAAGCCUUCAUAGAAGCUCUACACAAGGAGAAAUAAAAGAAGCAGAACCGUUGCAAAGUAAAGGUCGUUUUGCACUGAAUAAGCAAAGUAGAAAUAUGACUAUUGUGACUUUGUGGCCGUCACAGUGCCCACACACAACCCCUUCUCCCUGACCCCCUCCCACAUGGAUGCAAAGAUGGACCUUAAAGGAAGGAACGCAGCAUAUGCCAGGCGGUUCUUCUGUCCACUCACAGGACAGUUGCCAAGGAAAAAAACAAACAUCACAGCGCAGAAGAGAAUAAGGCAGCAUGUUGAACAGUCUUCACGUUAAGUUGCCUUGUGUUCCCCUGUCAAGCUUUGCAUCACAUUUAUCGACCAUUUGGACAGCAUCGGCGCUGGACACGGACACAGAAUGGAUGAUAGGCUUCUUCCCUCCUUCAUGUCACCUCCACCAUUCGGACCACUCUCACCCACGUAAACACUCACUCUUCCUGUUUGGGAACGGACUGAAAGGGUGUGAUGAGGGCCCAUGUUUACCCCAGUGAUGUACAGUACGUGUCUUUAUGCUAUAGACAUGAGAGGCUGCGCAUCCUCCCAACAGGUGAUGCACUUGUCUCAAAGAACGGUGAGGUGGUUGCACCAUGUUUUAUGUUGUAGAAAGUCAUGUUUGCAUGGCGUGACCUGGCAGAUGUUUAUUUAUUACAUUUGUGUUCCAAAGGAAAAUAAAACUGACAAAACUGAAUGAUGGAUUCUUAGUUUUGUCAUGUUUAAUGUUAACCUGUACAGUCAGAUGCCCCUCAGCUCUGAGACGUGAGUAUAUUUUGCUUUUUCUGUAGCUUUUGAUGUGGCUGUUCCUUUGUGAUGCCACCACAUGGAGGGCGGGGCUUACCUGUGAUGGAAAAGUGUAAUGAUGACCAUGGAACCACAAACGGAAACAUAGGAAAGCGGUACGUAGGUCUUUGUCCUGGCGACAAUAUGGAUGCAGUACAAUAUGAAUAAAACCAUCACAUGUCAACAGUACAGUAAUCCCUCACCACUUCGCCUCACUCUCACGGUUUUCAAAAUACAGUCAAACCUGUCUUAGCGGCCACCUUUAUAGAACGGCCACCUGCCUAUAGCAGUCACUGAAAAAUCCUCGCAGCAAAUGUACAUGUUAUAGACCCUGUGUAUAGCAGUCACCUGUCCAACCCGGCCAGCGGCCACCCAUUUUGUCUCCCUUGGUCAAUAUCUGACUGCAUAUAGAGGCCAAAUUACCAACUCAAGUAGAAGCUUCAUGCACGAAAAAGUUUCGUUUUUCAAUCAACGAAGCCGUCGUGUGUAGACUUUAAUUACGGAAUCCUAGCUCAGUCACAAUCAUUCACAAGAUCCACAUAAACUGUCAGUUGUUCCACAUAAAAAAGCCAUCUUCUUUUGAGCUUGCUAUUUCCUGGUCAAACAUGUAACUUUAAGAGCAUUUGCACCAAAACAUUACUGCAAAGUAGGCUGGGAACAGGACGUGCUCCCAGCGACGCUACAAUAAAAAAAACAUACGCUAGCAUGCAUGCGGCAGCGGGAGCAAAACUGGGUUCGGUUGUACUUAAUUGAAGUAUUUUAGAAUGUACUCACGUUAUUUUUGAUCAAUCCUCAUCCACAAAUCCAUCAAAGUCCUCAUCUUCUGUAUUCGACACAAACAAAGCCGUCUUCUUUUCCGUUCGCUACUAGUCUGUUAACUUGUCAGUGUUAUUCAGCUCCGAAGCAAAGAAGGAAACUUCUCCUGUUGCUUCUGCCAACUUUAUUUAUUGAACGCGGCCACCAGACAGCAGCUCAGAACACACACACAUCUCUCAGCAUCAUCUCUCCUUCCUGCUUGCCCACAAAGCAAAGGUUAAACAAGCCCCACUACAUAGCUGUCCAGCCAAUGCCUGUAAGAAAUGACACCGUUUAUUUCCUGGUGUGCACUGGUCAAUACUGCAAUGCCGCUUGUUGUGGGGAAGGAGAGACUCACGUCGCCGAUGCACUUUAAUGUCCGCAGUGCCCUCUACUGGUCAACAUUAUUAUUAUUUUCCCCCCCUUUUUUUUCUUUUUUUUCCUCUACUGGUCAACAUUCAAACUGGACGCCAACCUGUCUAUAGAGGCCAACUGUCUAUAGCGGCCACUUUUGCAGACUCCCUCUAGUGGCCGCUAUAGACAAGUUCGACUGUAUAAUCAUUCAUAAAUCAUGCUUUUUUGGGGUUGAAUACGGCCUAUUAUUAUUUCAAAGCUGUGCGUAAUUAAGCUGGAUUUACGUACUUUUCUGCGCAAAUUUUAAAAAAAUGGCUCAAUGAAGUAAAAUAUAAACAUUGAUAAGGCACAUUGAAUGUGAUGUGUAGUAUUCUACACUGGUCACCAGGUGUAAACAUAUCGGGUAAGUAUAUAUAAAUUUACAAGGACAUUUAUGAAAGUUUAUCUUCAAUACUAGCAAGAUCCGGUACUAGCAAGAGUACACAAUCAACACCGGUCUCGCCAGGAGAGCUGACCACAGCCGCUUUCGCUGAUCGCAGUCUUUGUCCCCUCCCGGCUGUGGAGCCCAUAACUGGUGUGUAAAGGUGACUGUGGGGGUGUUAUUUCAUGUGUCUAGGGCACUAAUGUUAAAACCCAUAUUUAAAAGGUCGUAAACAGGUUUUCAAUCCCUCAACUACGAAAAUAAAUAGGAAAUCCUACUUUGCGGAAAUUCACUUAUCACGGUGGGGUGUGGAACCAAUUAAAUGUGAUAAAUGAGGGAAUACUGUACUCUUAGAAGAGGAAACGAGCAGAAGAAAAGACCACAAAGUCGUGAGUAUGCAAUUUAUUGUAACGUGUCCCGAUGAAAGGCGGUUAACUUCUUUUUACACUUGUAUGACGGCUAAAAUGUUACCGUGAUGCAUGAAGUGGGCUCGCCUUCAGCAACACUUAUAUGCUACGCAUCAUCACAGCUAAGGGUGAGUGUACAAUACAAUUGCAUAGUUUUAACUUCUUUUUCAUUUGUAAGAGAGCUCAAGUGUGAUGCGUGCUUGAUGUCGACUCGCCUUCAGCGAGCUUCCGUUUCCUGUACUUCCUUGUAUGUUUUGCUGUGCCUUUUCCAGGCUAAGGGUGAGUACAUGAAGUGAUAACUUCUUUUUGCACUUGGAUGACAGCUAAACUGUUACUUAUAACAUUGCCUGUACAGUGGCACUACCGCAAAUUGGCAGGGUUUUGAUCCAAAAAUAGGUUUCAUUUGUCGGAAAAUCUGCCCAUUUGUGCUUUUUCUUUCCAAAAAUAGGCUUUUUUUGUGGGUAAAACGUGUCUCAUUUCGGUUCUGUUUGGAGCUUCUUGAAUGGAUUAAUGACGCCAACCAAGGUUCCACUGUAGCAGGAGGGUUUGGAGGGGGAGGAAGGAGACGGAGACAGAGCAUCAUAACCCAGGCUUUAUCAAAAUAUACAUUUUUGUGUGCGUCUGUUAUUGGUCUUUCGCGAGUGGUGUUGGAAUGUAGCGCUACCUCAGGGUUCUUCACCCUUGUUGAGAAGUUGAAUGAUGGGCAUGUCAGGAGGUCUCU